GGGCACAGCUCCCUCAUCUCACCGGUUGAAGCAUUAUGUGAAUAUGAACUGCUGCUGUUAUCAUCAUCAUCAUCAUCAUCAUCAUCAUUAUUACUCCAUUUAAUCCCUGCGCAGCUCGGGACGAAUCCUUUCUCUCUGUGCCUCAAUUUCUCCUUCGGUGAGAUGAGGUUGUCUCUCUAGGAGGCCUCUCUUGGGUUUGAACCUCCAUUCCCAGACCUUGAGGGCUGGGCUUCCUACUCCCGUCAAUCAGCACGGAUUAAGCGCUUACUGUGUGCUGGGCUCUGGGCUAAGUAUUUGUAGGGGAAAUUUGUAGGGAUACAAAGGAAAGUUGAAUGUAGCCCCUGCCCUCAGGGAGCUUACGUCCUAAUGGGAUGUCGUGUAAGCAGGAGAAGUGACUUUCCCUUUCUGGCCCUGUGGGGAUUGGAGUGACUAGUCUCCACCGUUCCUUCCCAGACUCCCUCUCACUGGGCUCCUUCUCCGCUUCCUGGUCCUCAAACAGCCUCCCCCAAGGCCCUCCCACCCCAUGAGCUGUGUCCCUUGUGACAAAGGAGAACGAGUCAGCCAAGAUGUCCUAUGUUCCAGGGAAGAGAGGAUUUGGAGCCUGGAGAUUGCUGGAGCUGGAAGGGCCUUGAGCCAGUCCCCUCCUCCCCUUUUACAGGGGGUGAGACCGAGCCCAGAAAGUGGGGAAAUGAAGCCUGAGAUCACACGACCAGCUCCGAGGUGGGAACCCGCACCUUCUGGCUGCCGGGCCAAGGUGCUUUCCGGGAUCUGUGCUUCGGUGUCUGGGAAGAAGGCCUGCCUCUGGGGAUGUGGAAAGAGACAAGCCCAGCUCAGAGCAGCCCGGGCCAGCUGGCUCUAAGGGGUGAGUCAUCCGGGCCUGGAUCUGGGAGACAGAAGCAGGCCUCAUUACCUGGCUUACUCACAUCCUCCACUGAAGCCUCCCUGUGACUCAGAGCCCCAGAGCUCAGGACCCCCAACACACCACCUCUGCCCCCAGUAGAGUCUUAAUACAAUGACCGGCACACAGUCGGUGCUUAAUAAAUGUUAUGUAUUUGUUGGUUGAUAGGAUGCU
rnacentral:lncRNA from 1 species